GUCUGAGGUUCUGGCCUCUCACCCAGGUGUGGUAAGGAUUCUGUCUGCCCUCUGACUGCAGCUGCCUUGCUUUGAUUCUUGUUGAAAUGAGCUGAGACUAGCCACCACUACUUUUUCCCCUCAAGACCUCCUCUUUGGGGGUGCUGCAUUCAAGCCUGGGUACCUCCAAGAAGAGAUCACAGCCUGUUGGUAGUUCAUUGGCAGAUCCGUGUCAACUACACUCCCUAAGGAGCUUUGACCCUGAAGCAUGCCUCAGGAAGGAAAACGUAUGCACUAGCUUGAAGGCAACUACAAUUGAGUCCAAGAAAAUGAAGAUUUCUCUGUGCCAAUCACUAGACUGCUUUUUGGAGCUCAGAGCCUGUGUGGCGACGCCAGCUAAGGGUGUGAAGACCUGCCCAGAGGACCAGGACCCUGGUGUCCCAUCCCUUUACGUACUCUCUCUGUGCUGGUUGGUGCCUGGCAUCUCCAUUUGCCUGGUUCUUAGUUGUGUGGUGUGUGUGUGUGUGUGUUCACGUCACAGCACUAAUUUCUAUACUCUGGUAACCAACCAUACAAAGUGCAAGAAUUAAGACCCAUUGAAGCCAAGGCAGACUGUUCUCUGGAAAGAGCCCUGCACCACCGAGUGCUAUGUCCACUUGCUUGGAAGGAGCCAUUGGAAGAGCAAAUUUUGGAACUUACACAAUUGUGUAGAAAGGAGCUGGUUCAUUGUAGGCAUUUAAGGGAUUUCUGGUUUACUUCCUAAAAGUCCAUACUGGGAGUUAAUCUGUGGGCCUGAGUAGACCAUGAUGGUGGUCAAGGGACAGCAGUGGACCCCAUAUACCCACUCCAGAGUCUGAACAUGUGAUUGGACAUUGGUCAUCAAGUUGAUGAAAUCUCCCUCAAGAGGUCACCGUCCAGGAGCAGAAUCUGUCGUAGUCACAAGAUCCCCAGGACACUUUGCUGUUUGUUCCUGAAGUUUUCAUCAAGGUCUAGGCUGCGCACAUCCCUGUCCCAUGGAAGCUGUCUCACCUAAAGAAGGAAGUCUCGUGGUGUGUGUGCACCUGCAGUCUUCUCCCUCUCGGCCCUCAUCCUGUGGGUAGUCUUGCAGAAGGAAUGAUGUCGUGGCGGAACCCUGCAUCCUUUUAUUUAAGACAAUGCUUUUCUCUGUGUUGACUCAUCUUCAUUACUGUAGCAUGGUUUUAUUUUCUGUGUUGCAUUUUUUUCUUUGUCCCUGCCGUGUUUCAACAAACAAGCCUGUAUAGAAAAAGCAGCCUGGGGGAUAUAGCACUGGUUGUAGGCCGUGGGGCAGGAAGCUGUGACUGAUCCCUGGGGCAUGUUGUAGUACAUGGUGUAGUGGUGGCUUCUGUAUCUACAUGUCUCCAUCACAGUGAGGCUCAAUCCCAGCCAGCCAAGUAGAUAGUUCUUUGCCCUGAGGCACUGCCCUGGUUUGCCCCGCCACUGAAGCUGGCACAUUGCCUGUUUUCUCUUUUUAGACACGACAGCCACAGUGUGGUCUCUAAGUCCCACCAGCUGAGGUCUGAGGAAAGCAGGGUGACUCUGUCCCCUUUGCCCAGAGACCCAAAGAGUGGGGUGUCCAGCCUGCAGAGUUGCUCUGGCUCCUCGGUGUUGGUUUGCAAUAAAUCUGUGUUUAAGC
rnacentral:lncRNA from 1 species